rnacentral:tRNA from 1 species
UUCUUGGUAGCUCAAUUGGUAGAGCAUUUGGCUGUUAACCAAAAGGUCGUCGGUUCGAUUCCGACCCAAGACU